rnacentral:rRNA from 1 species
AUGCAGUCGAGCGGAACGAUCCUAGCUUGCUAGGAGGCGUCGAGCGGCGGACGGGGAGUAAUGCAUAGGAAUCUGCCCGGUAGUGGGGGAUAACCUGAGGAAACUCAGGCUAAUACCGCAUACGUCCUACGGGAGAAAGCAGGGGCUCUUCGGACCUUGCGCUAUCGGAUGAGCUUAUGUCGGAUUAGCUGGUUGGUGAGGUAACGGCUCACCAAGGCGACGAUCCGUAGCUGGUCUGAGAGGAUGAUCAGCCACAUCGGGACUGAGACACGGCCCGAACUCCUACGGGAGGCAGCAGUGGGGAAUAUUGGACAAUGGGGGCAACCCUGAUCCAGCCAUGCCGCGUGUGUGAAGAAGGCCCUCGGGUUGUAAAGCACUUUCAGUGAGGAAGAAGGCUUGUCGGUUAAUACCCGGCAAGAAAGACAUCACUCACAGAAGAAGCACCGGCUAACUCCGUGCCAGCAGCCGCGGUAAUACGGAGGGUGCGAGCGUUAAUCGGAAUUACUGGGCGUAAAGCGUGCGUAGGCGGCUUGAUAAGCCGGUUGUGAAAGCCCCGGGCUCAACCUGGGAACGGCAUCCGGAACUGUCAGGCUAGAGUGCAGGAGAGGAAGGUAGAAUUC